rnacentral:rRNA from 1 species
UGAGAUUCCGUCACCACCAAAAGAGUUAAACACAGGGACACAUUUGAAGUCUCGGAGCCGGGUGUUGGUUCCGGUAGCGAUCGAGGGAAAUUAGUACCGAAGUCCGGGAUGGAAGAUGGCGAGAAAAGCUGUGUGUAUUUCUGCGGUGCCCGUACCGCAAACCGACACAGGUAGGUAGGAAGAAGAUUCUAAGGCCAACGGGAGAAGGGUUGUUAAGGAACUCGGCAAAUUGACCCCGUAACUUCGGGAGAAGGGGUGCUCCAGAGAUGGAGCCGCAGAGAAUCGGCCCAAGCAACUGUUUACCAAAAACACAGGUUUGUGCUAAAUCGAAAGAUGACGUAUACGAGCUGACGCCUGCCCGGUGCUGGAAGGUUAAGAGGAGAUGUGCAAGCAUUGAAUCGAAGCCCCAGUGAACGGCGGCCGUAACAAUAACGGUCCUAAGGUAGCGAAAUUCCUUGUCAGGUAAGUUCUGACCCGCAUGAAAGGCGUAAUGAUUUGGGCACUGUCUCGACAGCCCGCCCGGCGAAACUGUAGUACCGGUGAAGAUGCCGGUUACCCGCGACAAGACGGAAAGACCCCAUGGAGCUUUACUGUAGCCUAAUAUUGGGUUUCGAUGUUGCAUGCACAGGAUAGAUGGGACACUAGGAAGCAAGUGCUUUGGCAUUUGUGGAGUGGCCGUUGGGAUACCAUCCUUGCGAUAUUGGAAUUCUAACCUGCGCCUUUGAAUCAAGGCGGGGGACAUUGUUAGGUGGGCAGUUUGACUGGGGCGGUCGCCUCCUAAAGAGUAACGGAGGCGUUCAAAGGUUCGCUCAGCUUGAACGGAAAUCAAGCAAAAGAGUGCAAACGCAGAAGCGAGCCUAACUGCGAGACUGACGGGUCGAGCAGUAACGAAAGUUGGAGUUAGUGAUCCGGUGGUAUGUGAGUGGAAAUGCCAUCGCUCAACGGAUAAAAGUUACCCUGGGGAUAACAGGCUGAUCUCCCCCAAGAGUCCACAUCGACGGGGAGGUUUGGCACCUCGAUGUCGGCUCAUCGCAUCCUGGGGCUGUAUUCGGUCCCAAGGGUUUGGCUGUUCGCCAAUUAAAGCGGUACGCGAGCUGGGUUCAGAACGUCGUGAGACAGUUCGGUCCCUAUCUGUCGUGGGCGCAGGAUAUUUGAUGGGAGCUGUUCCUAGUACGAGAGGACCGGAGCGGACGUACCUCUGGCGCACCAGUUGUUCUGCCAAGGGCAUAGCUGGGCAACUAUGUACGGAUCGGAUAAACGCUGAAAGCAUCUAAGCGUGAAGCCGACCCAAAGAUAAGAUAUCCCAUUGUUUUAAACAAGUAAGACCCCUUGAAGACUACAAGGUUGAUAGGCUUGAUGUGUAAGUGGAGUGAUCCAUUCAGCAAGCAUGUACUAAUAGGUCGAGGGCUUGACU